GAGUAAAGGCAUUGAUAUAAAAUUGAUGGUGCACAUUGCAUUGAAUGUUGGUGAUAAAUCAGCGAUUCUCCGUGCCUAUCACAUCUCUUUUGGUUUUGAUUAUGGACUCGAACAAGUCGCCACAUU
rfam:Eucalyptus grandis cultivar BRASTZ1 unplaced genomic scaffold scaffold_3, whole genome shotgun sequence.